rnacentral:rRNA from 1 species
UCUGGCUCAGGAUGAACGCUAGCUACAGGCUUAACACAUGCAAGUCGAGGGGCAGCAUUAGAUUAGCUUGCUAAUUAGAUGGCGACCGGCGCACGGGUGAGUAACGCGUAUCCAACCUUCCCCCUGCUCAGGGAUAGCCCGGUAGAAACCGGAUUAAGACCUGAUAGUUUCACUAGAUGGCAUCUGACGGUGAAUAAAGGUUUCGGCAAGGGAUGGGGAUGCGUCUGAUUAGCUUGUUGGCGGGUAACGGCCCACCAAGGCGACGAUCAGUAGGGGUUCUGAGAGGAAGGUCCCCCACAUUGGAACUGAGACACGGUCCAAACUCCUACGGGAGGCAGCAGUGAGGAAUAUUGGUCAAUGGGCGGAAGCCUGAACCAGCCAAGUAGCGUGCAAGGAAGACGGCCCUAUGGGUGUAAACUGCUUUUGUGCGGGAAUAAAGUCAGGGACGCGUCCCUGUUUGCAUGUACCGCAAGAAUAAGGACCGGCUAAUUCCGUGCCAGCAGCUGC